AUGUUGGAAGUAUGAAGUACAGUUGCCUUCCAAGCAAAAAGCCCAAACAUGGCCAACAUA
rnacentral:tRNA from 1 species